rnacentral:rRNA from 1 species
UACGUAGGGUGCAAGCGUUGUCCGGAAUUAUUGGGCGUAAAGGGCUCGUAGGCGGUCCAUCGCGUCGGGAGUGAAAAGCUGGGGCUCAACCCCAGUCCUGCUUUCGAUACGGGUGGACUAGAGGUAGGCAGGGGAGAACGGAAUUCCUGGUGUAGCGGUGAAAUGCGCAGAUAUCAGGAGGAACACCGGUGGCGAAGGCGGUUCUCUGGGCCUUACCUGACGCUGAGGAGCGAAAGCGUGGGGAGCGAACAGG